AUUGAACGCUGGCGGCAGGCCUAACACAUGCAAGUCGAGCGGAUGAAGGGAGCUUGCUCCUGGAUUCAGCGGCGGACGGGUGAGUAAUGCCUAGGAAUCUGCCUGGUAGUGGGGGAUAACGUCCGGAAACGGGCGCUAAUACCGCAUACGUCCUGAGGGAGAAAGUGGGGGAUCUUCGGACCUCAGGCUAUCAGAGGAGCCUAGGUCGGAUUAGCUAGUUGGUGGGGUAAAGGCCUACCAAGGCGACGAUCCGUAACUGGUCUGAGAGGAUGAGCAGUCACACUGGAACUGAGACACGGUCCAGACUCCUACGGGCGGCAGCAGUGGGGAAUAUUGGACAAUGGGCGAAAGCCUGAUCCAGCCAUGCCGCGUGUGUGAAGAAGGUCUUCGGAUUGUAAAGCACUUUAAGUUGGGAGGAAGGGCAGUAAGUUAAUACCUUGCUGUUUUGACGUUACCAACAGAAUAAGCACCGGCUAACUUCGUG
rnacentral:rRNA from 1 species